GUCUCCUGCAUUUCUUCCCAAUUUCUAGCACUGAUUUUCUGGAAACAACAGAAGCUCAGCCUGACUGUCAAACGAUGACCAUUCCUGUAAAUUCCGCUCCCAAGUAAGGUUGAAAGAAGCUUUCAGCAUUUUGAAGAUGUUAUUAUAGUACCUUCUGUCUCCUGCUGAGAAGUCAAAUGAACUUUGAUUAGAUAUAUGUUGGACUAGGCACAUGAAAAAAUACUCAAUAUCACUAAUUAUCAGAGAAAUACAAAUCAAAACUACAAUGAGGUAUCACCUCACACCAGUCAGAAUGGCCAUCAUUCAAAAGUCCACAAAUGACAAAUGCUGGAGAGGCUCUGGAGAAAAGGGAACCCUCCUUCACUGCUGGUGGGAGUGCAGUUUGGUGCAGCCACUGUGGAAAAUAGUAGAGUCCUCAAAAGACUAGGAGUAGACUUACCAUAUGACCCAGGAAUCCUGCUCCUGGUCUUAUAUCCAGAAGGAACCCUACUCCAAAAUGACACCUGCACCCCAAUGUUCAUAGCAGCACUAUUUACAAGAGCCAAGACUUGGAAACAGCCUAAAUGUCCAUCAACAGAUGACUGGACAAAGAAGAUAUGGUAUAUUUACACAAUGGAAUACUAUUCAGCCAUAAAAACUGACACCAUAAUGCCAUCUGCAGCAACAUGGAUGCUCCUGGAGAAUGUCAUUCUAAGUGAAGUAAGCCAGAAAUAGAAAGAAAAAUACCAUAUGAGAUUGCUCAUAUGUGGAAUCUAAAAACCAAAACAAAACAAAACAUACAUAAAUACAGAACAGAAACAGACUCAUAGACAUAGAAUACAAACUUGGGGUUGCCAAGGGGGUGGGGUGUGGGAAGGGACAGACUGGGAUUUCAAAAUGUAGAAUAGAUAAACCAGAUUAUACUGUAUAGCACAGGGAAAUAUAUACAAGAUCUUGUGGUAGCUCACAGUGAAAAAAAAAUGUGUGACAAUGAAUAUAUGUAUGUUCAUGUAUAACUGAAAAAUUGUGCUCUACACUGAAAUUUGACACAACAUUGUAAAAUGAC